rnacentral:rRNA from 1 species
AUUGAACGCUGGCGGCAGGCUUAACACAUGCAAGUCGAGCGGGGUGAUGGUGCUUGCACUGUCACUUAGCGGCGGACGGGUGAGUAAUGCUUAGGAAUCUGCCUAUUAGUGGGGGACAACAUCUCGAAAGGGAUGCUAAUACCGCAUACGUCCUACGGGGGAAAGCAGGGGAUCACUGGUGACCUUGCGCUAAUAGAUGAGCCUAAGUCGGAUUAGCUAGUUGGUGGGGUAAAGGCCUACCAAGGCGACGAUCUGUAGCGGGUCUGAGAGGAUGAUCCGCCACACUGGGACUGAGACACGGCCCAGACUCCUACGGGAGGCAGCAGUGGGGAAUAUUGGACAAUGGGGGGAACCCUGAUCCAGCCAUGCCGCGUGUGUGAAGAAGGCCUUAUGGUUGUAAAGCACUUUAAGCGAGGAGGAGGCUCUUUUGGUUAAUACCCAGAAUGAGUGGACGUUACUCGCAGAAUAAGCACCGGCUAACUCUGUGCCAGCCGCCGCGGUAA